rnacentral:rRNA from 1 species
ACGAUUGAUGGAGCGAAGCGACGUCAAAGCGUUCAUUAAAGUCGAGUUGGCUUAGGGAUACGUUCGUUGGGUAGGGGAGCGUUCUGUAAGCCUGUGAAGGUGGCCUGUGAGGGUUGCUGGAGGUAUCAGAAGUGCGAAUGCUGACAUAAGUAACGAUAAAGCGGGUGAAAAGCCCGCUCGCCGGAAGACCAAGGGUUCCUGUCCAACGUUAAUCGGGGCAGGGUGAGUCGACCCCUAAGGCGAGGCCGAAAGGCGUAGUCGAUGGGAAACGGGUUAAUAUUCCCGUACUUGGUGUUACUGCGAAGGGGGGACGGAGAAGGCUAUGUUGGCCGGGCGACGGUUGUCCCGGUUUAAGCGUGUAGGUGUGUGUUCCAGGUAAAUCCGGUUCACUUUAACACUGAGGCGUGAUGACGAGGCACUACGGUGCUGAAGCAACAAAUGCCCUGCUUCCAGGAAAAGCCUCUAAGCAUCAGGUAACAUCAAAUCGUACCCCAAACCGACACAGGUGGUCAGGUAGAGAAUACCAAGGCGCUUGAGAGAACUCGGGUGAAGGAACUAGGCAAAAUGGUGCCGUAACUUCGGGAGAAGGCACGCUGACAC